rnacentral:rRNA from 1 species
CAGUAGCCGCGGGAAAACGAAGGGGGCUAGCGUUGUUCGGAUUUACUGGGCGUAAAGCGCACGUAGGCGGAUCGAUCAGUCAGGGGUGAAAUCCCAGAGCUCAACUCUGGAACUGCCUUUGAUACUGUCGAUCUGGAGUAUGGAAGAGGUGAGUGGAAUUCCGAGUGUAGAGGUGAAAUUCGUAGAUAUUCGGAGGAACACCAGUGGCGAAGGCGGCUCACUGGUCCAUUACUGACGCUGAGGUGCGAAAGCUAGGGGAGAAAAUGGGAUUAGAUACCCGCGUAGUCCCUGUCUCUUAUAC